GACGAACGCUGGCGGCGUGCUUAACACAUGCAAGUCGAACGGACAGGCCCGGCGCUUGGGAGUUGCGCGAGUGGCGAAGGCGGGAGUAUCACGUGUGUAACCUGCCCUUGACUUUGGGAUAACUUCAGGAGACUGGGGAUAUUACCGGAUAUGAUCUCUUGCAGCCUGGUGGGGGUUGGAAAGAUUCGGCGGUACGGGAUGGACUCGCGGAUUCUCGGCUUGUUGGUGGGGUAGUUGCUUACCAACGCUGUGACGGGUAGCCGGCCUGGGAGGGUGAUCGGCCACCUGGGGCCUGAGGUACGCCCCAGACUCCUACCGGAGGCAGCAGUCGGGAAGAUUACACAAUGGGCGGAAGUCUGAUGCAGACACCCCCGGUGCGUGAUGACGGCCUCUGCGUGAUGAACAGCUUUGGCCUUUUACGAAGCGUUAGUGACGGUAAUGGGUAAAGAAGCAACGGCUAACUACGUG
rnacentral:rRNA from 1 species